CUCUUCCUCCUGCUCCAGCAAUGAAGGACCUGCUGGCUUCCACUUUGUCUUCUACCAUGAUUGCCAGUUUCCUGAGGGUCCCCCCACCAGCCAUGCUUCCUGUACAGGCUGUGGAACUGUGAGCCAAUUAAACCUUUUUUCUUUAUGAAUUACCCAGUCUCCAGUAAUUUUCUUUGUAAAUUUCCCAGUGUAUUUAUAGCAAUGGAAGAACGGGCUAAUACAAAAUUCUGCUUUUCAAUAUAUUUUUUAAUUUGCUUUUUUUUCAAACAUUUGCUAUAAAUAUAUGUUCUUAGCUUAAAAAGUCUAAAUUUUUAUGCCAAACAGUAGUGUCCUGUCUCACCUCUACCUGUUUUCUGGUUUCAUUCUCAGAAACAAAUUCCUCUAACUCUGAAGCUUCUUCUCUUAGUCAUGUUCAUAUCCUUAAGAGCACACUAUAACCAUUUUUUUCUUUUUUUUUUUUUUGCUUUUUCCAGGUUUAGGUCUUAUUAUUUACUUCCUAUUAUGGAAGGUGAGAUUGACCUCUUUCGCAUUUUCCCAAACCCUCUUCUAAAUAGAGUUACAUCACAAUUUUAAUUGGAAAAAUAACCAGGGUUUUUAUUACUAUAGCUAUGUAAAUACUAUUUACAGAUAAGCCAUAUCAUAGCUAUGCUUGUAUUUCCUUUCUUGUACAACUCUUUGUUCUCUAUGGAGUAAAUUAGUGCCAAAUUUUUAAUUUGCUAAGUUUCCUAUAUAUCUAUCUCUAAUUCCUCUUUAACUAUCUGCCAGAAGAGUAAAUAUUUUCUCGAUAUUUUCACACUUCAGAUAAAUCUGAAAGUUUUUGUUUUUCUUGUUGCUAUCACUGUGGGAAUCCUCCAUCUUCCUGCUUCAACUCGGACUGCUGUUCUCUGGCCUGCCUGCUGCAGCUGUCAUCCUGGGAAUUUCACUAAAGCUUCAUUUCAGGGAAUUAUGCUUCUUUACUACCCCUUUUUCUUAUACCCCUGUUAUGGACUGAAUUGUGCUCCCCCAAAAUUCAUAUUUUGAAACCCUAAUUGCCAG
rnacentral:lncRNA from 10 species